UACGUAGGGGGCAAGCGUUGUCCGGAUUUAUUGGGCGUAAAGAGCUUGUAGGCGGUCUGUCGCGUCUGCUGUGAAAAUCCGGGGCUCAACCCCGGACUUGCAGUGGGUACGGGCAGACUAGAGUGUGGUAGGGGAGACUGGAAUUCCUGGUGUAGCGGUGAAAUGCGCAGAUAUCAGGAGGAACACCGAUGGCGAAGGCAGGUCUCUGGGCCACUACUGACGCUGAGAAGCGAAAGCAUGGGGAGCGAACAGG
rnacentral:rRNA from 1 species